rnacentral:rRNA from 1 species
AUGUUUGUCUCGGCGUUCUGGGAACGGGGGUACCCAGACUUGCUUGCCUGCAGCCCGCAGCGUGGCUCCACCAGCGGCCCCCUAUGGCCCAUCUUCACCAGCAAACAUUCAAGACCCUCACGAGGGGCCAAGCCUCGCGAGGCGAACAACACAAGACCUCCUCAGGAGCGGCAUCACCAGGCUGGCUCGCGAGGGGCGGAGAGACCAAGGCGAGGGGCACCUCGCGAGGUUCCUGUGACGCAAUCCAUGACGACUGGAACCAGGCAGGGGCACCAGGCGGGCGCCAGCGCGCAGUGUCCUUGUUUCCUCUUUGGUGCUAAAGGGGCAAGCGCAGGCAAGGAGUCCCAAGGCAUCAGGAAAAGGUUUCCAUAUCGGUGCAAUAAGACCAAGACCAGCAGGACGGCGAGAUGGAGGUCAUCGUGGAGCCCAAGACGGUGUCACCACCAGAGCCUUUGGUAG